AACGCACGAGACCUGCGGACCUGCGGAAGGAUCAUUACUGUGUUCCCGUAGGGGCGCGUGGCGGUCACCGCUCCGGCCACGGCCGUAGAAAGCGGGCCGCCCCGCCCUGAAACCCACUACAAACCCACCGUGCACCUUUCGUGGCGGAGGGCGAGGUGCGAACCUCGUCCGAAGCCGCGGCCUCACAGACUCUUGUGUUUUGGAAAGUCUAGCGGACUCUGUGCCGCCCACAACAGUGAC
rnacentral:misc_RNA from 1 species